CGGAUGUGUCUCUCUCAGAUUGU
rnacentral:piRNA from 1 species